rnacentral:rRNA from 1 species
UACGUAGGGUGCUAGCGUUGUCCGGAUUUAUUGGGCGUAAAGAGCUCGUAGGCGGCUUGUUACGUCGACUGUGAAAACCCGCGGCUCAGCUGCGGGCCUGCAGUCGAUACGGGCAGGCUAGAGUUCGGUAGGGGAGACUGGAAUUCCUGGUGUAGCGGUGAAAUGCGCAGAUAUCAGGAGGAACACCGGUGGCGAAGGCGGGUCUCUGGGCCGAUACUGACGCUGAGGAGCGAAAGCGUGGGGAGCGAACAGG